rnacentral:rRNA from 1 species
UACGUAGGGGGCAAGCGUUAUCCGGAAUUACUGGGUGUAAAGGGAGCGUAGACGGUAAUGUAAGUCUGGAGUGAAAGGCGGGGGCCCAACCCCCGGACUGCUCUGGAAACUAUGUUACUAGAGUGCAGGAGAGGUAAGCGGAAUUCCUAGUGUAGCGGUGAAAUGCGUAGAUAUUAGGAGGAACACCAGUGGCGAAGGCGGCUUACUGAACUGUAACUGACGUUGAGGCUCGAAAGCGUGGGGAGCAAACAGG